GGAGAAUGAAUCACCUAGUACCUUCCUUGACACACUGGCACUAAGUUGUUCAUCAUUGUUUGACCCUGCCAUCAGAAGGAAAAACCUCAACCUGAAAUUCAUGUGGAAUCUCAAGGGACCCUCUCCCAGUUCUGCACCACAAGGAGACUCUCAGAACUUUCUCAAUGUUUUCUGUGAACCUAUGUAUCUGGAGAUGAACAAUGUCUAUCUCUCACACCUAUGAUGACCUGGGGUUCUGGUCUAGACAUUCUCAGGAGUAAAUUCAGUAGUUGCAGAAGCCCUGACCUUAUGAAGUGCUAAAAAGGACUGCUUUGAACCAAAUAAAGUAAGAGCAGCCAUGUCUUCAUCCC
rnacentral:lncRNA from 1 species